rnacentral:lncRNA from 1 species
GUUUGACAUCUUCUCCAAACAGCCCCAAGCACCUUCAACCUCCAUAGUUGCCCCCCAUCACCUCUGCUCCUCCUUCACGUAACCAGCAAACACACUCGCACACACAACACCCCGUCGCCCCAGCCAUGAACCACGUCCAAACACCACCACAUAUGCCUUCCUCUUCCAUCCCCCCACGCUGCCAGCUCGAGCUUCACUCUCCUCCGCGAAUCGGCGUCGAACAGGCAGCCGCGACGACCAGCUCGUCACCAACGUCCACCAGCUUCACCCAUCUCCUUCCAUCGUCAACCACUACUCCUCGUCCCUCUCCUCCUUCACGAGCAACAACCCUUAUUGUCAACCACCCAAACGACCAUAUGACCCUCUCCUUGGUCGACCACUUCAUUUCAUCUUCUUCAUUUCCAUAGAUGCCUUCAUCGCCGGAAACCCAACGAGAAACUCAACAGUCACUCCCAAACGUUUUCUAGUAGCUCAUCGUCGUCCCACUUCCAAAACGUCAGUCCAGUCCGCUUCUUCAUCUUCCAUUUCCUAGAGUUUUUGGGACAAAUUCCGGACAGAAGUUUAACAGAGUUGAGGUUAGUUUGAGUUCGUCGUUGUUCGUCGAGCCUAUCCGUUCCUUUUCUCGUUGCAAUAAUUUGUUUGAAAUCAUAUUUUUGCUCUGUACAUUUGCUCGACACAGAUAAUCAUGAUUCAGUCAUUUCUUGUGUUAUUGUUUAACAUUUUAGCCUCUGCUUAUCCGUUCAUUUAGGAUCAAUUUGUCCGUCAGUUGAGGUGUUGAUAAAUAUUGAUUUUGCUAAGUUUCAUGUUGUCCAUAUAUUUUUGAUAUUCUCGGAUUUGAAAUUGUUAUAUGUUUGAUUCUUUUUUUUGUUCGUUGGUUAUCAUUUUCUUGUUUAUUUCUUCAGUUUGUUUUUAUUUAAAGGAAUUUAGUUUCAAUAUAGAAGUAUGUUAGUUUAAUAAAUCUUUCAUCUUGGUUGCAAUAUUGUUUGAUUUAAUUUGAAGUUUAAUUAAUUAUUGAGUUUAGUGAGUUUAAUAAGUCUUUCAUCUUGGUUGCAAUAUUGUUAUAUUUAAUUUGAAGUUUAAUUGAUUAUUGAGUUUAGUGAAUUGAAUCCGUUUUUUAUUUCUGUUUAAGUCUAAAUUUGGAUCUGACUUAGAAAUUUGAAUUUGUUUGUUUGGUCUGUUUAAGUUUAAUUUGAAUUUGAGCUUAGUAAUUUGAAUAUCUUGUUAUUGUUGUUGAAUCUGAAAAUAUAUUUGUUGUUAAAAAUGUUAUUCAGUCAAAAUAAUUUUUGUUCUUUAAUGUUCAUUAUUUAGUUUGAAUUGUUGUUGAAUUUGAUUAGGAAUUUGGUUAUAGUUGUAAAAAGUUGGUGUUUUUCUGAUAAUUUUGGUGCAGAUUGUAGGGAUGUGGGUAUAAUGGUAAUUUUAGUAGUUUGAGGGGGAUAUUUUUUGGAAUUGAAAAAUAAAGAGUUGAUUAAAAAUAUAGUGGGGAACAUAAUUAUGUAAAGUAAAAAGAGGGGACAAGAUAUGUGGGGAGAAUAAUGAUUAAAGUAAAAAGAGAGUGGAUUGUGGGGUCCACGUUUGACUGUAAUUGGGAAUUAGAAAUAGUAUGUAAUAAUAAAAAGGGUAAUAAUAAUUAAAAGAGAGGAAUGGGUAUGGCAUUUUAGGAUAUAUAAUAGCAGUCAUUUAACACUUAGAAAAGGGGAAGAAAAUUUAGAGAGAAAAAAUAUUUUCAGAACUAGAGGGAAGAUAAACAACUGCUAUUGUUCAUUAAAGCUUCUUCUUUUUCUUGAAUUAUAAAAAUCAGAAGUUAUUUUCUUUUUUUUGGCAACUGGAUAUUCUUUGUUGGUCUGUCUCCUGGGUUUUCUGUCAUUCCCGCUAAUACUGGACAAUUGUGUUACUGCUAAUGGUUGUUUGUUGUUGUUGCGUUGUUUCUACUGCUGCUGAUGAUAUUUUUCAUUUUCCUUGUAUUCAAAUACCAGGUAUACUACUCUGAAUCAUUUUUUGACAUGCAUUAAAACUGAAAUGAAAUGGCCAGAAGAUUUAUGCUUCCAAUUAUAGGAUAUUCGUAUUUUUUUAUAUUCAUUACGUGUUUCAUGUUAUAUGAAUGGUAGAAUAAUGUAUAAUGCGAAGAGUUAAAUUGCGGAACUAUUGAGUGGGUGUCGGUAUGAAAG